GAUGAACGCUGGCGGCGUGCCUAAUACAUGCAAGUAGAACGCUGAAGGCGGAGCUUGCUCUUCUGGAUGAGUUGCGAACGGGUGAGUAACGCGUAGGUAACCUGCCUGGUAGCGGGGGAUAACUAUUGGAAACGAUAGCUAAUACCGCAUGACAACAGUUAUUGCAUGAUAACGGUUUAAAAGGGGCAACUGCUCCACUACCAGAUGGACCUUCGUUGUAUUAGGUAGGUGGUGUGGUAACGGCUCACCAAGGCGAGGAAACAUAUCAGCACGGAGAGGGGGAUCGGCCAGCCUGAGACUGAGACACGGCCCAGAGGCCUACGGGAGGCAGCCGUAGGGCAUCUGCGGCAAGGGAUGGAAGUCUGACCGAGAAGCGCCGAGGGCUUGUGCAAGGUCUUCGGAUCGUAAAGGUCUGUUGUAAGAGAAGAACGAGUGUGAGAGUGGAAAGUUCCCACUGUGACGGUAUCUUAUAAGAAAGGGACGGCUAACUACGUG
rnacentral:rRNA from 1 species